rnacentral:rRNA from 1 species
UACAGAGGGGGCAAGCGUUGUUCGGAAUUACUGGGCGUAAAGGGCGCGUAGGUGGCCUUCUAAGUUGAACGUGAAAUCCUUGGGCUCAACCCAGGAACUGCGUCCAAGACUGGGAGGCUUGAAUCCGGGAGAGGGAUGCGGAAUUCCAGGUGUAGCGGUGAAAUGCGUAGAUAUCUGGAGGAACACCGGUGGCGAAGGCGGCAUCCUGGACCGGUAUUGACACUGAGGCGCGAAAGCCAGGGGAGCAAACGGG